rnacentral:rRNA from 1 species
GACGAACGCUGGCGGCAUGCCUAACACAUGCAAGUCGAACGGAGAUUAUUUCGGUAAUCUUAGUGGCGAACGGGUGAGUAACGCGUGGGCAACCUGCCCUCUAGAUGGGGACAACAUCCCGAAAGGGGUGCUAAUACCGAAUGUGACAGCAAUCUCGCAUGAGGAUGCUGUGAAAGAUGGCCUCUAUUUAUAAGCUAUCGCUAGAGGAUGGGCCUGCGUCUGAUUAGCUAGUUGGUGGGGUAACGGCCUACCAAGGCGAUGAUCAGUAGCCAGUCUGAGAGGAUGAACGGCCACAUUGGGACUGAGACACGGCCCAGACUCCUACGGGAGGCAGCAGUGGGGAAUCUUCCGCAAUGGGCGAAAGCCUGACGGAGCAAUGCCGCGUGAGUGAUGAAGGAAUUCGUUCCGUAAAGCUCUUUUGUUUAUGACGAAUGUGCAGAUUGUGAACAAUGAUCUGUAAUGACGGUAGUAAACGAAUAAGCCACGGCUAACUACGUG